rnacentral:rRNA from 1 species
UACGUAGGUGGCAAGCGUUGUCCGGAAUUAUUGGGCGUAAAGCGCGCGCAGGUGGUUUCUUAAGUCUGAUGUGAAAGCCCACGGCUCAACCGUGGAGGGUCAUUGGAAACUGGGGAACUUGAGUGCAGAAGAGGAAAGUGGAAUUCCAAGUGUAGCGGUGAAAUGCGUAGAGAUUUGGAGGAACACCAGUGGCGAAGGCGACUUUCUGGUCUGUAACUGACACUGAUGCACGAAAGCUAGGGGAGCAAACAGG